AACGAACGCUGACGGCAUGCCUAACACAUGAGAGUCGAACGAGACCUUCGGGUCUUGUGUCGCACGGGUGCGUAACGCGAGGGAAUCUACCCUUUGGUUCGGAAUUACAGUUAGAAAUGACUGCUAAAACCGGAUGAUGACGUAAGUCCAAAGAUUUAUCGCCCAAGGAGGAGCCCGCGUAAGAUUAGCUUGUUGGUGGGGGAAUGGCAUACCAAGGCGACAAUCUUUAGCUGGUCUGAGAGGAUGAUCAGCCACACUGGGACUGAGACACGGCCCAGACUCCUACGGGAGGCAGCAGUGGGGAAUAUUGGACAACGGGCGAAAGCCUGAUCCAGCAAUGCCGCGUGAGUGAUGAAGGCCUUAGGGUUGUAAAGCUCUUUUACCAGUGAUGAUAAUGACAGUACCUGGAGAAUAAGCUCCGGCUAACUCCGUGCCAGCCGCCGCGGUAA
rnacentral:rRNA from 1 species